rnacentral:rRNA from 1 species
UACGUAGGGUGCGAGCGUUGUCCGGAAUUAUUGGGCGUAAAGGGCUCGUAGGCGGUUUGUCGCGUCGGGAGUGAAAACACUGGGCUUAACUCAGUGCUUGCUUCCGAUACGGGCAGACUAGAGGUAUUCAGGGGAGAACGGAAUUCCUGGUGUAGCGGUGAAAUGCGCAGAUAUCAGGAGGAACACCGGUGGCGAAGGCGGUUCUCUGGGAAUGUCCUGACGCUAAGGAGCGAAAGUGUGGGGAGCGAACAGG